AGUGGCACCAGCCUCAGCCAUGUGCUAGAAUCAUGGCCUGAGCAGGCUCUCUGAGCUUUAUUGUCAACUUUAUAUGAUAAAGAUAACAGCAGCUUCCUUGAAGACUGCUUUAAGAAUUGCAGAUUCAUCAUAAGCUCUUCAACACAGCUACCGUUUAUGUUGUAUGUUCACCCUUAAACCAAUUACUGUACUACUUCCUGUCACCAUGUGGAGAAGGAUGUGUUUGCUUCACCUUCUGCCAUAAUUGUAAUUUUCCUGAGGCCUCCCCAACCCUGCAGAACU